rnacentral:rRNA from 1 species
UACGUAGGUGGCAAGCGUUGUCCGGAUUUACUGGGUGUAAAGGGCGUGUAGCCGGGCCGGCAAGUCAGAUGUGAAAUCCCAAGGCUCAACCUUGGAACUGCAUUUGAAACUGUUGGUCUUGAGUAUCGGAGAGGCAGGCGGAAUUCCUAGUGUAGCGGUGAAAUGCGUAGAUAUUAGGAGGAACACCAGUGGCGAAGGCGGCCUGCUGGACGACAACUGACGGUGAGGCGCGAAAGCGUGGGGAGCGAACAGG